CCGUGGAAUGUCACCGGGAUGUUCACCUCCACCUCGGCCCUGGCCACCUCGCUCAUGUCUUUGGCGUUGAGGAUGAGGAGGAAGGCGGGCUUGGGCCCCGCGCCCGGGCUGAUCACGAUGCUCAGCACCACCCCUGCAAGGGCAUCCGGGUGGGAAACGAAGAUGGGCUCCGACGGGUACGCAUCCGGCUCCUGCCACACCCAGGUCUCCUUGGUUUUAACGUUCAGCUUGCACAGCUAAAGAGAGGUUCUUAUCCUUGAUGAUGUUCUCCAGGAGCUCUGCCACUGCAGCCUGCGAGGUGGAGACCUUUUGUUCUUCAAACUCCUGGGGAGUGAUUUGUUUGCAGUAGGAAUACGUUGGCAGGAUGGCACAAAUGUCUUCUGUUUCCUGAUUGCACUGAAAGAAAAAGGGCUCUGCAUGCACUCAACUAGUUCUUUACUAUUUGAAAGCAGCAAUUAACAAAUGAAUUUCUACUGCUCUGAUGGCACCAACCUGAGCCAUCUUCAUGUACUCGAGGUGAUCCCACACGGCAGCCUGCAGGUAAGUUGGGACCUGGAAUAUUUCCUGCUGAU